UCUUUCUCUUUGGGUCUCUUGAGCUGCUUAUCUACAAUAUGCUGGUCUAUCCCUGUACGGAAGCACUGGACCACCUGCUUACCUGGCUGCAACAUGAUCACCUACAAAUCCGGAAGCUCAGACUCAAAGGGAUAUCCCUGCUUUUGGACUCUGACAUGGCAAGUGAUGCUUAGAGGGAGGGUGCAAGAAGAAUUUAGAUUCGAAUCACAGCCAAGCACAAGUCUGUGCUAAAAGAAAAACUGUUGGGCCUUUCAGAUCUUUGAAAAGAGUAUUUCUUUCGUGUAGUACCCUGAAGAUGCUGGCUGUAAGCUACUGCAGUCUGGCUGCCCAUCCUGUCAACUGGAGCCUGAGAGGAGGCCUCUGGAAGCAAGAAGACCCACACAAGAAUGUCAUCUGCCGGGAAAGGAGGCUCAGCAAAGACACAGUCUGCAACCUCGAUCCACACCCUUAUGGUGACAUUGGGGAUUAGAGACUUUUUGCUGAGUAUAAAGAGUUGCUACAGCGAGGUGCAAACACAAGCAGGACUUGAAGUAUGAGCAACAGCUUCCUCAACCACGUUCUACAGAAGAACUUAUAUAGUUUAGGGAA